AUUGAACGCUGGCGGCAGGCUUAACACAUGCAAGUCGAGCGGUAGCACAGGGGAGCUUGCUCCCUGGGUGACGAGCGGCGGACGGGUGAGUAAUGUCUGGGAAACUGCCUGAUGGAGGGGGAUAACUACUGGAAACGGUAGCUAAUACCGCAUAACGUCGCAAGACCAAAGAGGGGGACCUUCGGGCCUCUUGCCAUCAGAUGUGCCCAGAUGGGAUUAGCUAGUAGGUGGGGUAAUGGCUCACCUAGGCGACGAUCCCUAGCUGGUCUGAGAGGAUGACCAGCCACACUGGAACUGAGACACGGUCCAGACUCCUACGGGAGGCAGCAGUGGGGAAUAUUGCACAAUGGGCGCAAGCCUGAUGCAGCCAUGCCGCGUGUGUGAAGAAGGCCUUCGGGUUGUAAAGCACUUUCAGCGAGGAGGAAGGUGGUGAGCUUAAUACGUUCAUCAAUUGACGUUACUCGCAGAAAAAGCACCGGCUAACUCCGUG
rnacentral:rRNA from 1 species